rnacentral:lncRNA from 1 species
CACAAAUUAAAGGCACAAUGAGAUAUCACUACACACUCACCAUACUGCUAUAAUGAUAAAUUUUUUAAAUAAAAUAACAAGUGUUGGUGAGGAUGUGGAAAAACAGGAACUCUCAUACCUUGCUAUUGGGAAAGUAAAAUGGUGCAGCUACUCUGGAAACAGCUAGCAGUUCCUCAAAAAGUUAAACAUAUGAUUACCAUAUGACCCAUCAAUUCUACUCCUUAGUAUAUACUCAAGAGAAAUGAAAACAUAUAUCUACACAGAAACUUGCACACAAAUGUUUAUAGCACACCCCCACGACCACUCACCUUGUCAUCCGCCAUCUUCCCCCGCCGAACUUGUUGCGCAGGCGCAUCCCCGCCUCCCUCAUGCCGACUGCCCCGGCCAUCUUUACGGAUGGCGAAGGCACUUCCGGAGCAUUUUUGGAAAGGGGGAGGUGCUUUCCUAGUGGCCAAGUACGCCUCUCUCAGAUACUUCCACGUGACCCCCUCCCGUCGAGUCUCAGGCUGCGUGUGAGCGCACUCACGACCGGGGCGCGAUGAUCUCACUCGUGCGCGAGUGCGCGCGGCGCAUGUUCGGCGUGUCGGUCUUCAGGCGCCUGAUGAGUUCAUAGUUGCGCGGUGGUGUCAGCGGUUUCGCUGGCGUUCGUGGGCCUCCCCCGGACCCACACACGGAAACACGCAACCAUUCGGGGAUCCAGACGCCCGUUUACACGCACCACCCCUGGGCGGGCUGUGCAGCUCAGGCCCUCCCCCGGGACCGGCCCGUGUCCCGCCCCGUAUUUGUGCGGCGCCAGCUGGCCCCGCAGCCUGCGGCGCAGAGAGGCUGGGCUUGCAGGCGCAGUAGCUCCAGAGGUCGCGCUGGGCUGAGAGUGCGGGCCGGCAGAGGCCGGCGGGGAGCAGCCGGGGUUAUGCUGGGCAAGGAUUACAUGCUGGCCAUCAUUCUGGUCAACUGCGAUGGUGUGCACGGAGGGGCCCGGUGGGAAGACCAGGAGCUGAGGGAGGACGAGGGAAUCCGAAAGGCUACUCUCGGGCUCAAAGACAGGGUGGGGGAUACCUCUCUGUGUAGGGACCAGGGGGCGAAUGAACCCGAUUUUUACAUGUGAUGUCUUCAAGAUUGAGGAGCUUGGAUCUUCAGCCUAAGAACUGACCCAUUUUGGGGAUGGAGAGGGGAUUAUGACAGCAUGUUAUUCUGAACUCACAAAUCAUAUGCUCCCUCCUCUCUAAUCCGGUGUUCCUGUAGAUGACUUGUGGGGGGACCACAGUCUGGAGGGGGAGGCUGGCCUGCCUCCUGGCUGGAGGAAGAUCCACGAUGCUGCAGGUACUUACUACUGGCAUGUACCCAGCGGUAGCACCCAGUGGCAGCGCCCAACCUGGGAACUAGGAGAUGCAGAGGACCCAGGCACGGUAGGUGGAGUGUGAGGAGGAGGUCUGAGCCCGUGUGUGGCCCGUGUGCUGUUAAACUGACUGACUCCCACUCUACAGGGAACGGAGGGGAUCUGGGGACUGCGGCCCCCCAAAGGGAGAUCCUUCUCCAGCCUGGAGAGUUCACUGGACCGGAGGUAACGGGUGGCCCAGGC